CUGGUAAGCAAAAUGUAUGUUUCUUUAUCAGGAAAAAGGUGGGUGGUGUAUUCCUUAAUUAAAUAACAUUGGAACAAAUACUGUAGAAAGACAUGUCAUUAUGCCAGACAUACCAAUCUGGCCAAGAAUAUUGCCAUUGUUUGAACCUGGCUCAUCCAUUUUAAGUAGCCCACCGGUAAUAUUCUACUCAGAUAACAAUAUUACCUAAUAUUAUAAAAAGAGAAGGUUUUUAUUUACUUGAACUUCAGUACAUGCCAUGAGUUUUAGCAGGGUUGAAUGAACACACACACACACACACACACACAUACAUACACAUCAUACACACCUGCUUACUACUAAUUAUUGCAGUGAUGAUUAGUGAUCAGGAAUUGUAGAACGAGAAAACCAGGAAGAAGAGUGGUAAACUGCUCACUGCUUUUCUUUAUACUGUACUCUCUCCAUAUGUUCUCCAGCAGAGAUGAAACUAGAGGCUAAACAAUUGCGUAUAUGUUGUCCACCUGUGAUCUCCAUCUAUCUAUUUUUUUUUUUUAAAAAAAAUAUAGAGCCAGUUUGGUCUAGUAAAGUACCAGACUAGAAAGUGGGAGAUCAUGAGUUCUAGCCGUCCCUUAGCCAUGAAAGCUGGCUGGAUGCCUUUGGGUUAACUACGCUUCCUAAAUCCAACCCACCACACAGGAUUGUUGUGGGGGAAAGAGAUGGAGGAAGGCGUAUAGGAUAUGUUAUUUGUAAAAAUAAUAAUGGCAGGAUAUAAAUAAAUAAAUAAAAUUAUUUUUAUGAAGCAGCAGGAGAUAUGGACAACAUUGUAAAGACUAAUUCCAGGUAGCGGUUUAUUUUGCCCAACCCUUCUUCAGAACCUGUUGUUUUUUUAUUCUCUGCAGAUAGAGCUGUAGAGUUCAAUGUAAAAGCUUCUGAAUACAGAGUUUCUAUUGUUACCAGUCAAAAGGCACUGUACAGGAAUCUGUCUUAAUGAAUGUUAUGUCUGUGUGAAUAAGUAAAAAGCUGAAAAAGCAAUAGCAAAAUGUGGAAGUGUUAAGGUGAAAAAUAAGAAUACUGAAUACUUUGUACCCUAAGCUGUUAUGUAGUUUAUUUGGUUUUUGGCUUACUUUGUUAAAAGAACUGUUUGUAAGGUUUAUCAUGUUGUGUGAAUGUAGACAAUUGUGGCUUGUAAAUCAAUAUUUAUAGCACUGUAUAAUGUGCUUUAACAUUGUGCUUUAAUCAGCAAACCAUCUCUUAGUGCAAUGUGCAGUUUUCAUCAUUUACUUUUUAUUAUUUAUUUAUUUUUCGCAUUUAUGAACCUGACAUCUAUCUCAAAGAAAAACUCUGAGUGCUCUGCAAUAAAAUGUUGGACUAUAAAAACAGUAUAUAAAAAUUAAAAUAUUAAAAUUAAAAAAAAAUUAGAGGGAGGCAAGAAUAAUUAAGCCCUGUUUCAGAUCAAUCGAAAAAGUGAAGAGAGAAGGCUCUCGGGGCCCCAACCAGCUCCGUGGCUGCAUGCUUCUUUGGGCUCCCCAUGCAAGGCCACAGAGCCACAUUUUAAUUCCCCUUCAGCAGGUCAGGAGACUGGGGAGCCAGCCUCCCCUCUGGGGGGAGAAUGUUCCACAGGGUGGGGGCAACAAUAGAGAAGGUCUCUUCCUGGAUUCUGCCAGUCAGAAUUCUUUAACUGACAUGGUGCAACGUAUCUUUCCUGCUGGACUGGCCAGUGUAAUGGAUUGAAUGUAGGUCACAACCAACACCUUGAAUUGGACCUGGAAGCAAACCAGCAAAAAGUUUUUAUGUAUGCCCUUCUUUAGGUGCUCGAUAUAGCUUGUGCAGCUGCAUUUUGCACCAGCUGAAGCUUCUGGAUAUUUGUCAAGGGUAGCCCCAUGUAGAGCACAUUGCAGUAUCCGUAUGGGAGAUGACCAGGGCAGGAGUGACCUAUCAGUCAUUAUUAGUGUGAGUGAGGUAAUCAGAAAGUAAGCUCUCCUGGACAAGAUAGAUUUGAAGAAGUGAUGUCAGUUCAUUAGUUUAGACUUUUAUUGAAACACUGGAUAAGUGAGAACAGUGUGUUAUUGGAAAUACAUCAUUUUUUAAAACAGUGGUUCUCAACCUGUGGGUCGGGACCCCAUUUGGGGUCGAACGACCAUUUCACGGGGGUCGCCAAACAAGGCUGUCUGCCAUUUUUUCCCCCUUUUCUUUGGCCACGCCCCUGGCACCCGGUGAUGUAUAAGUGGUUGGGGGUCACCACACCAUGGGGAACUGUAUUAUGGGGUCGCGGCAUUAGAAAGGUUGAGAACCACUGUUUUAAAACAUGGUCCUUUAGAAACUGGUGAAAAUAGUAAUAUUUUGAUGGAAAUUAUGUUUUUCAAAACAGCAACAACAACAACAACAACAACCAGGGAAUGAGGAAGGGAAGCAAAUAGUUUUGAGCCAAAGAGUAUCUGCAAACAGAUCAGCAAACGAGGUGAACUGAAAAGGUUUGGAUGUGAAAGUGAGGACAACUUUCUUCGCCCUACUGCAUUUAUGAAAGAGAGAAAAUAGUAUUUGGAUAUAUGACAUUCACAAGCUUUUCUGGGUUUGAAAGGGAAUAAUUCCAGUAUGAGGAGAAACCGACUUCCGUUUCAUUUGUAUCUUUUAUACUUGCAUUCCUGAAACGCCCAUCACCUUUUCCCAGCAAAACCACGAAACAAGCAUUUUAUGUUUCUACAUAUUUCUGCAAAAAAAUAUCAAAAUAAAAAAUGAAAAACCCAACAGCCUUUGUGAACAAAGUUUCCAUGUAUUGUUUUAUGAAAAGAAUUUGUAUUUGAAAAUUUUGAUGUUCUGUAGGAUCUGAAUAAAAUGUGUGACAUUUUUCUUUUCA